GACGAACGCUGGCGGCGUGCCUAAUACAUGCAAGUCGAGCGAAGCGGCGGAUGGGUGAGUAACGCGUGGGUAACCUGCCCUUAAGUCUGGGAUACCAUUUGCAAACAGAUGCUAAUACCGGAUACUAAAGGAUGGACCUGCGAUGCAUUAGCUAGUUGGUAAGGUAACGGCUUACGAAGGCGAUGAUGCAUAGCGGAGAUGAGUGACUGUACGGCCACAUUGGGAGUGAGAAACUACCCAAACUCCUACGCGGGGCAGCAGUAGGAAAUCUUCCGCAAUGGACGAAGGUCUAAUGGGGCAAAACCGCGUGAGUAAAGAAGGUUUUCGGAUCGUAAAGCGCUGUUGUUAGUAAAGCGGUAAUCAACCAGAAAGUCACGGCUAACUACGUGCCAGCAGCCGCGGUAAUUC
rnacentral:rRNA from 1 species